rnacentral:tmRNA from 1 species
GGGGGCGACCUGGUUUCGACGUGGGUUACAAAGCAGCGCAGGGCAUACCGAGGGCUGGUUACCUCGUAAAUACACCCAGAAAUCAAUAACUGCAAACGAUAACUCGUACGCACUCGCAGCUUAAUUGCUGCUAGCUCUUCAACACCUCGCCCCUGGGGUGUGCCGCAAGGCUGAAGAGUCAUUUACAGGGGCUCGGGUUUGACCGGGUUACUUGGUCCGACCUUAAAUCUAAGGUAACUCGCCUGUCCAAACCGCGCACGUCCGGGCUGUACGGGUUAAAUUAAAUGGCGAUGCUAAGUAUGUAGAACUGCCUGUAGAGGGCUUGCGGACGAGGGUUCAAUUCCCUCCGCCUCCACCA